rnacentral:rRNA from 1 species
CAGUAGCCGCGGUAAUACGUAGGGUGCGAGCGUUAAUCGGAAUUACUGGGCGUAAAGCGUGCGCAGGCGGUUGUGUAAGACAGGUGCGAAAUCCCCGGGCUUAACCUGGGAACUGCGCUUGUGACUGCACAGCUAGAGUAUGGCAGAGGGGGGUGGAAUUCCACGUGUAGCAGUGAAAUGCGUAGAGAUGUGGAGGAACACCGAUGGCGAAGGCAGCCCCCUGGGCCAAUACUGACGCUCAUGCACGAAAGCGUGGGGAGCAAACAGGAUUAGAUACCCCAGUAGUCCCUGUCUCUUAUAC